rnacentral:rRNA from 1 species
GAGCAACGCCGCGUGAGUGAAGAAGGCCUUCGGAUCGUAAAGCUCUGUUGUUAGGGACGAACGAUGAGAGAGUGGAAAGUUCUCAUAAGUGACGGUAUCUUAGGAGAAAGGGACGGCUAACUACGUGCCAGCAGCCGCGGUAAUACGUAGGUCCCGAGCGUUGUCCGGAUUUAUUGGGCGUAAAGCGAGCGCAGGUGGUUUCUUAAGUCUGAUGUAAAAGGCAGUGGCUUAACCAUUGUACGCCAUUGGAAACUGGGAGACUUGAGUGCAGGAGAGGGGAGUGGAAUUCCAAGUGUAGCGGUGAAAUGCGUAGAUAUAUGGAGGAACACCGGUGGCGAAGGCGGCUCACUGGGCUGUAACUGACACUGAGGCGCGAAAGCGUGGGGAGCAAACAGGAUUAGAUACCCUGGUAGUCCACGCCGUAAACGAUGAGUACUAG